AGCAAUAAAAUUCCUUCUAGAGUUCCUUUUGACAAUGGAAUGAAAGAACUUUGUACAUUUGUCACUUUGCUUAAGGAAGAUGCAUUUAGCCUUUUGAUAAUAAAAGCUCCUCUCCGCUUCACACAAGCCAACAGUUUUUUUCCUCAAAUUUUGAACCAAAAGCUGAAAUUCCAGAUUAGCGGGCUGAUUUUCAAGCUGAAUUUGGGCAGCCUCCAAAUCAGAUUUCGCCUCAUUGGCCCUCCUCGAAAUGUGACCAAAUUGUUUAGAAUUUAGCUCCUUAAGAGCAACCUUAAGUUUCCUCAACUUCUUGCAAAGAACAAAUUGUUUAGUCCCCCGAACAUUUACACGCCAAGAAGAUUGCACAAUAUCAAGAAAAUCUUCAUGCAUAGUCCACAUGUUAAAAAACUUGAAUGGCUUCUUACCGCUACCAACACAAUCAUCAAUGGAAACAAUACAAGGUGAAUGAUCGGAAAGACAACCGGAUGGAAGAAAAUUUGCACCAAUAUGUGGCCCAUUUUGCACCCAAAUAUCAUUGAUCAUAGCCCUAUCAAUUUUGCUCCAAACCGAGCCAUUGGUCCAUGUGAGGAAGCAACCAAUAGACCGUACAUCCGUUAGUCCCACUUGAAGGCAACAAUUUGCAAGAUCUUUGAUUUCAUAAGGGGUGACAUCCGCCCCAUUACUUUUCUCAUCAAAUUUUAGAACGUUGUUGAAAUCCCCCAAAAUCAUCCAAGGCAAUGCAACAAUUCUGUUGUGAUCCAUGAUGUUUUCCCAAAGAGGCCUUCUAGAAACCAAAGUGUGGAAGCCAUAAACAAAACUAACAAGGAAGGUGAAGGAAGUUACCUUGCAAGUAGCUUUAUAAUGUAUGACUUAUGGAUGAACCUCCGUCACAUCCAAAGACACUUUGGAUGGAUUCCACAAGAUCAAGAUACGAGCACCCCCAUGUGUGCCAAAGUUGUUUGCAUGCAAGAAACUGCCAAAUUUAAGCUGCAAAAUUCUAUUCAAUCUCCUAUCAACCAACUUCGUCUCCAAGAUGCCCAUAAUAUCAAUACCGUGGAGUUUGAUAAACUCUCGAAUCCCAUUUUGUUUAAGGGGAGGAUUCAUACCCCUUAUAUUCCAAAAUGCGAUCCUCAUGAUGAUGAAGCAAGGGGGACACCCUUCUUCUUACUAAUUUUAGAAGCCGGAUUACUUACUUCAAUGGCCUUUGCUUUGAGCUUAUCAUUUCC
rnacentral:lncRNA from 1 species